UUGCCAUCAUCAUCCAAUUGGACAGCAUGGAUUAUUGAUAUUCUAGUAUCUUCAGUGAGAUGUUUUUACCACCAAGAUCUGAGGAUACCAGUGAAUCCACUAACUAUCAAUUCAACAAUGUCUGGUUGAGACAAAUUAUUGAAUUUAGUUAUGUAAUUAUUUGCUACCAUAGACAUAUGAUUCAAUUUAUUUAAAAUUUCUUGUUCACUAAACCCAUCAAUGUUCCAUUCAUACAUUUUAUUAGAUGAAACU
rnacentral:lncRNA from 1 species